CAUGCAAGUCGAGCGAGAAGCUAGCUUCGGUUAGUGGAAAGCGGCGCACGGGUGAGUAACGCGUGGGAAUUUACCUUUUGGUGGGGGACAACAGUUGGAAACGACUGCUAAUACCGCAUAUACCCUACGGGGGAAAGAUUUAUCGCCAAGAGAUGGGCCCGCGUUAGAUUAGGUAGUUGGUAGGGUCAUAGCCUACCAAGCCUACGAUCUAUAGCUGGUUUGAGAGAACGAUCAGCCACACUGGAACUGAGACACGGUCCAGACUCCUACGGGAGGCAGCAGUGGGGAAUCUUGCACAAUGGGCGAAAGCCUGAUGCAGCCAUGCCGCGUGAGUGAGAAGGCCUUCGGGUUGUAAAACUCUUUUAGAUGUGAAGAUGAUGACGGUAACAUCAGAAAAAGCCCCGGCUAACUUCGUGCCAGCAGCCGCGGUAAUACGAAGGGGGCUAGCGUUGUUCGGAAUUACUGGGCGUAAAGAGCGUGUAGGCGGCUAGAUAAGUUAGGGGUGAAAUCCCGGAGCUCAACUUCGGAAUUGCCUUUGAUACUGUCUAGCUUGAGAUUGCGAGGGGAUAGCGGAAUACCCAGUGUAGAGGUGAAAUUCGU
rnacentral:rRNA from 1 species